rnacentral:rRNA from 1 species
UACAGAGGGUGCAAACGUUGCUCGGAAUCAUUGGGCGUAAAGCGCACGUAGGCGGUCUGUUAUGUCGGAUUUGAAAGCCCUUGGCUUAACUGAGGAAGUGCAUCCGAAACUGGCAGGCUAGAGUACUAAAGAGGGUCGCGGAAUUCCCGGUGUAGAGGUGAAAUUCGUAGAUAUCGGGAGGAACACCGGUGGCGAAGGCGGCGACCUGGGUAGAUACUGACGCUGAGGUGCGAAAGCGUGGGGAGCAAACAGG